rnacentral:rRNA from 1 species
GAGGGAGCCUGAGAAACGGCUACCACAUCUAAGGAAGGCAGCAUGCGCGCAAAUUACCCAAUCCCGACUCGGGGAGGUAGUGACAAUAAAUAACAAUGCUGGGCUUUUUUAGUCUGGCAAUUGGAAUGAGUACAAUCUAAACCCCUUAACGAGGAACAAUUGGAGGGCAAGUCUGGUGCCAGCAGCCGCGGUAAUUCCAGCUCCAAUAGCGUAUAUUAAAGUUGUUGCAGUUAAAAAGCUCGUAGUUGGAUUUCGGGGCAGGUGGUCCGGUCCGCCCGAAGGGUGAGUACUGGGGUCCGGCCCUUCCUCUCGGAGGCCCCGUCUGCUCUUUACUGAGUGGUCGGGGAGUUCGGGACGUUUACUUUGAAAAAAUUAGAGUGUUCAAGGCAGGCCAGUCGCUUGAAUACAUUAGCAUGGAAUAAUGGAAUAGGACCUCGGUUCUAUUUUGUUGGUUUCUAGGACCGAAGUAAUGAUUGAGAGGGACAGUUGGGGGCAUUCGUAUUCAAUUGUCAGAGGUGAAAUUCUCGGAUUUAUGGAAGACGAACAACUGCGAAAGCAUUUGCCAAGGAUGUUUUCAUUAAUCAAGAACGAAAGUUGGGGGUUCGAAGACGAUCAGAUACCGUCGUAGUCCCAACCAUAAACUAUGCCGACUAGGGAUCGGCGGACGUUAGCGAGUGACUCCGUCGGCACCUUAUGAGAAAUCAAAGUCUUUGGGUUCCGGGGGGGGUAUGGUCGCAAGGCUGAAACUUAAAGGAAUUGACGGAAGGGCACCACCAGGAGUGGAGCCUGCGGCUUAAUUUGACUCAACACGGGGAAACUCACCAGGUCCAGACAUUGUAAGGAUUGACAGAUUGAGAGCUCUUUCUUGAUUCUAUGGGUGGUGGUGCAUGGCCCUUCUUAGUUGGUGGAGUGAUUUGUCUGGUUAAUUCCGUUAACGAACGAGACCUUAACCUGCUAACUAGUCAGGCCGUUCCCGAACGGCGGUCGACUUCUUAGAGGGACAACUGGCUUUGAAGCCAGCGGAAGUUUGAGGCAAUAACAGGUCUGUGAUGCCCUUAGAUGUUGUGGGCCGCACGCGCGCUACACUGACGAAGUCAGCGAGCAUGUCCUUCGCCGGAAGGUGCGGGGAAUCUUGUGAAACUUCGUCGUGCUGGGGAUAGAUCAUUGCAAUUAUUGAUCUUCAACGAGGAAUUCAUAGUAAGCGCGAGUCGCAGCUCGCGUUGAUUACGUCCCUGCCCAAAGUACACACCC